GAGUGUGGGCGGAGGCAGGAGGGCAGAAGAUUGUCACUUAUGACUGGCACUGAGAAUUCCUGCUGCUGAGUGCCAUGGCUGGGCCCUGGGAGAAAUCCUGGGAAUACAGAGGUGAGCAGUGAUCUCCAAGGUCAGCCUUCACAAGGCAUCAGUUUCUGGUGACUCUGCUGGGACAGAAGACAUCUGGAAACCCCCUGGAGCAGAGCAGAGGAACAUCCAGGCACCAGGAAUUUACAAAGCAUCAAGCCAGGAGCAGACAAACCCCAGAGGGGCAGAGCUGCUGCCCCUGAAGGAGUUAAUUCCCCGAGGAGUGCACUAAGUGGUCAGCAGCCCAAUAAAUUAGGGCCUGGAAAGACAAA